GACGAGCGCUGGCGGCGUGCCUAAUACAUGCAAGUUGAGCGCUGAAGGUUGGUACUUGUUCCAACUGGAUGAGCAGCGAACGGGUGAGUAACGCGUGGGGAAUCUGCCUUUGAGCGGGGGACAACAUUUGGAAACGAAUGCUAAUACCGCAUAAAAACUUUAAACACAAGUUUUAAGUUUGAAAGAUGCAAUUGCAUCACUCAAAGAUGAUCCCGCGUUGUAUUAGCUAGUUGGUGAGGUAAAGGCUCACCAAGGCGAUGAUACAUAGCCGACCUGAGAGGGGGAAUCGCCAAAAUGGGAAUGGGACACGGCCCAAACUUCUAAGGGAAGCAGCAGUAGGGAAACUUUGGGAAAGGAGGAAAGGCUGAACGAGGAACGCCGGGGGAGGGAAGAAGGGUCUCGGAUCGUAAAACUCUGUUGGUAGAGAAGAAAGAUGGGGGGAGUGGAAAGCGCAUCAAGUGACGGUAACUACCCAGAAAGGGACGGCUAACUACGUG
rnacentral:rRNA from 1 species